AAUAUUGGACAAUGGGCGCAAGCCUGAUCCAGCCAUACCGCGUGGGUGAAGAAGGCCUNCGGGUUNUNAAGCCCUUUGGUUGGGANCGAAAAGCAGUCGGUUAAUACCCGAUUGUUCUGACGGUACCCAAAGAAUAAGCCCCGGCUAACUUCGUGCCAGCAGCCGCGGUAAUACGAAGGGUGCAAGCGUUACCCGGAAUUACUGGGCGGAAAGCGUGGGUAGGUGGUUGUUUAAGUCUGUCGUGAAAGCCCUGGGCUCAACCUGGGAAUUGAGAUGGAAACUGGGCGACUAGAGUGUGGAAGAGGGUAGUGGAAUGCCUGGUGUAGCAGUGAAAUGCGUAGAGAUCAGGAGGAACAUCCGUGGCGAAGGCGACUGCCUGGGCCAACACUGACACUGAGGCACGAAAGCGUGGGGAGCAAACAGG
rnacentral:rRNA from 1 species